rnacentral:rRNA from 1 species
ACUCAAAGGAAUAGACGGGGGCCCGCACAAGCAGCGGAGCGUGUUGCUUAAUUCGAUGCUACGCGAAGAACCUUACCUGGGCUUGACAUGCAGGGAAAAGCCGUGGAGACACGGUGUCCGCAAGGGCCUUGCACAGGUGGUGCAUGGCUGUCGUCAGCUCGUGUCGUGAGAUGUUGGGUUAAGUCCCGCAACGAGCGCAACCCUUGUCCUAUGUUGCCAGCGGGUAAUGCCGGGGACUCGUAGGAGACUGCCGGGGUCAACUCGGAGGAAGGUGGGGACGAAGUCAAGUCAUCAUGCCCCUUAUGUCCAGGGCUGCAAACACGCUACAAUGGCCAGUACAAUGGGCUGCUAUCCCGUGAGGGUGAGCGAAUCCCACAAAGCUGGUCUCAGUUCGAAUUGGAGUCUGCAACUCGACUCCAUGAAGCUGGAGUUGCUAGUAAUCCCGGAUCAGCACGCCGGGGUGAAUACGUUCCCGGGCCUUGCACACACCGCCCGU